rnacentral:rRNA from 1 species
UAGUAAUCGCAGAUCAGCAUGCUGCGGUGAAUACGUUCCCGGGCCUUGUACACACCGCCCGUCACACCAUGGGAGUCGGUAACACCCAAGUUGGUAGCCUAACCGCAAGGAGGGCGCCGCCUAAGGUGGGAUUGAUGACUGGGGUGAAGUCGUAACAAGGUAGC